rnacentral:rRNA from 1 species
UACGAGGGGAGCAAGCGUUGUUCGGAUUUACUGGGCGUAAAGCGCACGUAGGCGGCGACUCAAGUCAGAGGUGAAAGCCUGGAGCUCAACUCCAGAACUGCCUUUGAAACUAGGUUGCUUGAAUCGCGGAGAGGUGAGUGGAAUUCCGAGUGUAGAGGUGAAAUUCGUAGAUAUUCGGAGGAACACCAGUGGCGAAGGCGGCUCACUGGACAGGUAUUGACGCUGAGGUGCGAAAGCGUGGGGAGCAAACAGG